rnacentral:rRNA from 1 species
UACGAAGGGGGCUAGCGUUGCUCGGAAUUACUGGGCGUAAAGCGCACGUAGGCGGUCUUUUAAGUCGGGGGUGAAAUCCUGGAGCUCAACUCCAGAACUGCCUUCGAUACUGGAAGACUCGAGUCCGGGAGAGGUGAGUGGAACUGCGAGUGUAGAGGUGAAAUUCGUAGAUAUUCGCAAGAACACCAGUGGCGAAGGCGGCUCACUGGCCCGGUACUGACGCUGAGGUGCGAAAGCGUGGGGA